rnacentral:lncRNA from 1 species
GCUUUCCAAUAUAUAUAAAUGUUUUUUUUUCCUCCUCUUCUUUUUUUUUUGUAAGUCUCCAGCCAAUAAAUAUGUAUCGCGCCCGACGGUUUAUCUCCCGUUCCGAACAAUCGACUUCUUUCUAAAGCAACGGCUUAGCUCCUAUUGACAAUACGAGUCAUUUACAUAGGAGCACUUAUAAUGACCGCCAAUCGAUUCCGCGGAAAAAUUUUUAUUCCUGGGAUGACGAUUUUUUAUUUGGAAAAAAACAGCAAUUUCCACGUAGACAAUAAAACAAAUCAAUUAAACAUCGAUGAAAUCGAACUUGCAACUCGAUCGUAUAUGAGUCCCGAUAGACGUCAAGGAUCAGUGCAAUUGAACUUGCACGAACUGUUACGUCAAUCGGGACUCAUGCAAUAUGGCAGAUGAUGUUUAAUCAAACGUAAUUCUUGCUUUUCCAAAACAUUCAAGCUACGCUAUGUGUUAAGCGGAACUAAAUUAGUUAAUCAGACUCGUGGCCACGCUCCGGGCUUUCGGAUAUCGUGACAUUUUUGGCGUUAUAUACCACGUUUGCAUCACGUAAAGCGCAAAACUGUUCGCUGGACUUGUCCGAUUUUAACAGAAAAGAAGGAAGGAAGGAAGAGAGAUAAAAAAAAAAAAAAAACUUGCACCGCUUUAGUAAAAUCUAUCUGGAGCAUGAGAAAUA